rnacentral:rRNA from 1 species
AAGAAGCGACCACGCGAGUGUGAGCGAAUCUCAAAAAUAACGUCCCAGUUCGGAUUGUAGUCUGCAACCCGACUACAUGAAGCUGGAAUCGCUAGUAAUCGCGGAUCAGAAUGCCGCGGUGAAUACGUUCCCGGGUCUUGUACACACCGCCCGUCACACCAUGGGAGCCGGAAAUGCCCGAAGCCAGUGACCCAACCUUAGGGAGGGAGCUGUCGAAGGCAGGUCGGAUGACUGGGUGAAGUCGUAACAAGGUACC